GUGUGGAGACAGACCCGGCCUGAUGAGAAGUGGAGAAGUUGAAAUUACGGAGCGAUAUUACUGCUACUGGUAAUCGAUAUAAUACUGAACAAAGAGAAGUUAGAGUAUGUUUGAGCCCAUAAGAAGUUUAUCAACUACUGAGAAGACCUGGAGAGCAGCUUAGAGCACCGGUUAUUCUUUUCUUUUCCCGGCUGGGUUUUCUGGAUACCCUUGAACUUUGAGUUGGAUUGGAAUCUCUUCCUGACGAGGAAGAUGGCGAGCCACCCGUGUUGAGCACCUGGAUUGAGGAGCGCUUCCAGCAUUCAUCUACCUUGCUGUCAGUGUGGUAGGACUGUGGGGAAGGACCUCAAAGGACAGUUGAAUCUAGCAGAACAUCCUAUUUUUUGAGGAUCACUUUUAUUUUCUGGGUGCACCCAUUACAAAAGACAUUUCUAAUUUUUAUAAACUGAAUGCCGGCAAUGUUGUAAUUAUUUUGUGUGUAAAUACAAUUGUUUUCAUUUAAACUUAACUCUGUGUUCUGGUUUCUCAUUGUGGUGUCUGAUUCCUGUUAAUUACUCCUCCCUACGAAUCUGGGUUAUACUGGUCCAGUGUGCACCUACCCUCCAUGUGGGUUACAUCAGCAAUAUCAGUCUUUGCUUUAUUAAGCAAUUACUACCUCCUCUGAUACAUGUAUGAACACAUGUAAAAGCUCUAUUACAAUCUGAAAGCUAAGACAUCUGGAUCCUGACACCAAGGCAAACCGUGGUUUGUCACAUAAAAAAAGCAAGGCAGUGUUGAUUUGUCCCCACAACACAGUUCUGACAUGGUGGUUUAAUAAAGGGACAAAACAAACCACAGAACAAACAACUUCAUUGUUGCACUAAUAUUUAUUCUUGUCAUUUUCUCAGUUUCAAUAAAACAUCUUGUACAACCAUAA